AGCCUGAUCCAGCCAUCCCGCGUGAAGGACGACGGCCCUAUGGGUUGUAAACUUCUUUUGUACAGGGAUAAACCUUUCCACGUGUGGGAAGCUGAAGGUACUGUACGAAUAAGCACCGGCUAACUCCGUGCCAGCAGCCGCGGUAAUACGGAGGGUGCAAGCGUUAUCCGGAUUUAUUGGGUUUAAAGGGUCCGUAGGCGGACUCGUAAGUCAGUGGUGAAAUCUCACAGCUUAACUGUGAAACUGCCAUUGAUACUGCGGGUCUUGAGUGUUGUUGAAGUAGCUGGAAUAAGUAGUGUAGCGGUGAAAUGCAUAGAUAUUACUUAGAACACCAAUUGCGAAGGCAGGUUACUAAGCAACAACUGACGCUGAUGGACGAAAGCGUGGGGAGCGAACAGGAUUAGAUACCCUGGUAGUCCACGCCGUAAACGAUGCUAACUCGUUUUUGGGUCUUUAAGAUUCAGAGACUAAGCGAAAGUGAUAAGUUAGCCACCUGGGGAGUACGUUCGCAAGAAUGAAACUCAAAGGAAUUGACGGGGGCCCGCACAAGCGGUGGAUUAUGUGGUUUAAUUCGAUGAUACGCGAGGAACCUUACCAAGGCUUAAAUGGGAAUUGAUGGGUUUAGAAAUAGACCGUCCUUCGGGCAAUUUUCAAGGUGCUGCAUGGUUGUCGUCAGCUCGUGCCGUGAGGUGUUAGGUUAAGUCCUGCAACGAGCGCAACCCCUGUCACUAGUUGCCAUCAUUCAGUUGGGGACUCUAGUGAGACUGCCUACGCAAGUAGAGAGGAAGGUGGGGAUGACGUCAAAUCAUCACGGCCCUUACGCCUUGGGCCACACACGUAAUACAAUGGCCGGUACAGAGGGCAGCUACACAGCGAUGUGAUGCAAAUCUCGAAAGCCGGUCUCAGUUCGGAUUGGAGUCUGCAACUCGACUCUAUGAAGCUGGAAUCGCUAGUAAUCGCGCAUCAGCCAUGGCGCGGUGAAUACGUUCCC
rnacentral:rRNA from 1 species